rnacentral:misc_RNA from 1 species
UUGACCAUAGGCGAAGCCAGUGGUUCUUCUUUCAUAUCCAUAACACCUGUGCACUGUUGGAUGCUUGCAUCCACUUUUAAACUAAACAUUAUUGUAACAAAUGUAGUCUUAUUAUAACAUAAUAAAACUUUCAACAACGGAUCUCUUGGCUCUCGCAUCGAUGAAGAACGCAGCAAGGAUCAUUAAUGAAUUUAGAUUGAAC